rnacentral:lncRNA from 1 species
GCGAAAGGUGCUUUAUUAUAAUAAUGCAAUAAUAUACAAUUAUACCAAACAUGGUAUCAAUAAGCAACAAUGAACAAGUGUCAAUAUGAAGCACCUUAACCCAAACGAAGUCGCCAAACAGGAAAAAAAAAAAAAAAAAAACAUGUGUGUAAUCAUGAUCCUGUUUAGUCUGACAAUUCAAAUAGAAGAAGGGAUACCCUUCAUACAGCUUGACAUUGUACAUGAUAAUAAUUUCGUUAAUCAAGCAAAUGACAAAUAUGUAAAACUAAAAUUUCAUCAACAACAUUGUAAUUCAUGUGUAAUUCAUGUAAUUAUUAUCUUUGACAACAGUGUCAAAAUCAGUGCUACAUCAUGCAUAAUAAAGGCA